AUCCUACGGGAGGCAGCAGUAAGGAAUAUUGCGCAAUGGAGGCAACUCUGACGCAGCAACGCCGCGUGCGGGAAGCAGGUCUUCGGAUCGUAAACCGCUUUUGUGAGGGAAGAGAACGGACGGUACCUCACGAAUAAGUCUCGGCUAACUACGUGCCAGCAGCCGCGGUAAUAAUC
rnacentral:rRNA from 1 species